GCCGCGGUAAAACCAGCACCUCAAGUGGUCAGGAUGAUUAUUGGGCCUAAAGCAUCCGUAGCCGGCUUUGUUAGUUUUCGGUUAAAUCCAUGUGCUCAACGCAUGGGCUGCCGAAAAUACUGCAUAGCUAGGGAGUGGGAGAGGUAGACGGUACUCAGUAGGAAGGGGUAAAAUCCUUUGAUCUAUUGAUGACCACCUGUGGCGAAGGCGGUCUACCAGAACACGUUCGACGGUGAGGGAUGAAAGCUGGGGGAGCAAACCGGAUUAGAUACCCGGGUAGUCCCAGCUGUAAACGAUGCAGACUCGAUGAUGCAUUGGCAUAAUAGCCAAUGCAGUGUCGCAGGGAAGCCGUUAAGUCUGCCGCCUGGGAAGUACGUACGCAAGUAUGAAACUUAAAGGAAUUGGCGGGGGAGCA
rnacentral:rRNA from 2 species